rnacentral:lncRNA from 10 species
UUUUAGUAGAGACAGGGUUUCACCGUGAUAGCCAGGAUGGUCUCGAUCUCCUGACCUUGUGAUCCGCCUGCCUCGGCCUCCCAAAGUGCUGGGAUUACAGGCGUCAGCCACCACACCCGGCCAGAAGACUAAUAAGUUUAAGCCUAAAAAAAUGUAAGCCUCAGGAGACCUCAUUGGUACCAACCAGAAAUACAGAUCCUGAGCUGUGCUGCUGGAAUGGGCUCUGAUGGAAACCUGGCUGGUGGUGGAUGGGUCCCUCAUGAGCAUGGAGAAGGCAAUGAAGCAACUGGAAGUGCAGAGAACUGAGAAGGAGCGAGCUUUUGCCUGCAGAUUUCGAUGGGCAUUUUUGACUGUGCUACAAGAAGUACACACCCAGUUCCUGAAGGAUGCAGUGCAGAUGAGGAAGUAGAGGUGCAGAGACCAGGGAAAAAGGUCAAGAUCUCAAUGCUAACAAAAGUGACUGGAUCUCCAGUAGCCAUUUUUGAUGAUCAGGGAAACAUAAAGAUGGAAGAUGUGCUAAUGAUGGAGAAAUGGCAAGAUGGAAGAGGCCCGGGUCUCUGAUGACCAUGGAGCAGCCAAACUUUUGUCUAUGCUGAUCAUGUCUGAAUCCCCAGGAUAUACAACAGUGUCAGUUACAUAAUAGGUGCUCAUGAAUUUUUGAAUGGAUCAAUAAAUAAAUGAUGUGUGUUCACCUGGACCUCCUCCAAUUGUCUGCAGCUGGUUCUGCUCCAUCCUGUAUAUUUGAUGAUUUGAUGAUCUUUACUUUCCAGUUCUACCAAUAUCUCCUUGAAUGUACUUUUGCAUCUUAAUUUUGAUGUAGCUUUGAACUUCUUUACAUCACUGUCCUAUUACCACCUGGAAAACUCUAUCUG